AAUAGAUACCCGGGUAGUCCACGCCGUAAACGGUGGGCGCUAGGUGUGGGGGACUUUCCACGUCCUCUGUGCCGCAGCUAACGCAUUAAGCGCCCCGCCUGGGGAGUACGGCCGCAAGGCUAAAACUCAAAGGAAUUGACGGGGGCCCGCACAAGCGGCGGAGCAUGUGGCUUAAUUCGACGCAACGCGAAGAACCUUACCAAGGCUUGACAUGCAGGGAAAUCUCGUAGAGAUACGGGGUCCGCAAGGGCUCUGCACAGGUGGUGCAUGGUUGUCGUCAGCUCGUGUCGUGAGAUGUUGGGUUAAGUCCCGCAACGAGCGCAACCCUUGUCCUAUGUUGCCAGCGAGUAAUGUCGGGGACUCAUAGGAGACUGCCGGGGUCAACUCGGAGGAAGGUGGGGAUGACGUCAAAUCAUCAUGCCCCUUAUGUCUUGGGCUGCACACAUGCUACAAUGGUCGGUACAAAGGGCUGCGAGACCGCAAGGUGGAGCGAAUCCCAAAAAGCCGGCCUCAGUUCGGAUUGGGGU
rnacentral:rRNA from 1 species